UCUGUAUGCCAUUUCCAUGCUAUUGCAUUGCGUAUGCCAUUGCCUCGGUUUGCGUGCCCAUGUGCACGCAUUUCGAGGCACUUCAUUUUCAUCUAU
rnacentral:sRNA from 1 species